GUCAACUCCAGUAGAGUUGUCAUUGGUAAGUGUAUUGGUACUUUGCAUAAAUUUAAGUGUUGAAUAUUCAUUUAGCCAAGUGAAUGCAUUUAUUGAAUUCUUGGGCCUUAGUAUGUAGCAUUGCUGAAAUGUUUUUCUCCGGGUUUAUAAGCAAAACGAGUUUGGAAUGGGGCAGAUUUUGAGAUGAGAUUCCGAGGAGAGGGCAGAGACCAGCCUCGAUGAUUUUGAGAAAUAAUUUGUGAGAAAUUUUUGAUAUGGAGAAGCCAAAGGAGAGGGCUCAGCCAGCCUACGGCAUUAGUAUAUUUUAAGCUUGAGCUAGUAAGAGCCAAGCCGCUGAAACCUUGGACAAGCUAGGAAUCACCCACAUUCCUAGCUUUUGGGGGUUGAGAAUAGUGCAACCUUUGACCAGAGGACCAGAAGCGACAGGGCAGGACCGCAGCGGCGGACAAGUUACGGACCAUCACAGGCGCUACUGAUCAUACCCCAAGAUCCCAAGAUCAAGAUACACCGGGACGGACGCAUCGAGUAUUAAUGAUUGUAUAAAUUGUCGAUAAUUAUUUUGGGGAUUUUGAAGAAGAGACCAAACCUUUGCGUUGAAACGUUGAAAUAUAAAUAAAUUGUACAUAAUAUAAAUAUAA